rnacentral:rRNA from 1 species
CACAAGCGGUGGAGUAUGUGGUUUAAUUCGAUGCAACGCGAAAACCUUACCUGCCCUUGACAUCCUCGGAACUUGUCAGAGAUGACUUGGUGCCUUCGGGAACCGAGAGACAGGUGCUGCAUGGCUGUCGUCAGCUCGUGUCGUGAGAUGUUGGGUUAAGUCCCGCAACGAGCGCAACCCUCGUCCUAUGUUGCCAGCGGGUCAUGCCGGGGACUCAUGGGAGACUGCCGGGGUCAACUCGGAGGAAGGUGGGGAUGACGUCAAAUCAUCAUGCCCCUUAUGUCUUGGGCUUCACGCAUGCUACAAUGGCCGGUACAAAGGGCUGCGAUACCGCGAGGUGGAGCGAAUCCCAGAAAGCCGGUCUCAGUUCGGAUUGGGGUCUGCAACUCGACCCCAUGAAGUCGGAGUCGCUAGUAAUCGCAGAUCAGCAACGCUGCGGUGAAUACGUUCCCGGGCCUU